AAGAAAAGGGAAGGGAACUUAAUUACUAAGGUCUCUGUUUUCAAUCGAAACAUGGAAGGCCAAGAAAGCAGAGAGCACCAGACAGAUUUCCUGAGAGGAAAGAGGAUCGUGGGUCUCAGCAGCCUCUCUCUGCAACUUCUUUCAGAAUCUCCUCCAGUUCAACCCAAUAAACUAAAACCCCCGGGGGUCUCACGUCAGCCCUUCCAAACCCAA